GUUAAUAGACGCAUAUCCUAUGAGUAUUUUAUUAGCUUGUUAUGUCAGCAUUCCUCAUUGAGAUGUUGCAGUUUCAGUUUUACAAAGCUAAAUGCUUUUAGUUGGAGUAGAACUAAAUGCUUUUAGUUGGAGUAGAGCAUUCUAGGUGUAAAGAAAGGGUGGCAUAUCACGACCAUUUCCUCUUUGCAAUAACUUUUUCCUUUUGGAAUAAAUUCAGCUUUCAAGUUGAUUGUAAAAGCAAAUAAGAUUGCAGUAAAUGGCAUCAACAUGAAACAAAAAGAGAGAUAUCAGUGGUAUGAGACAUAGAACUUAGAUAGCUAGACAAAAAUUAUCCAUUAUUUAGCUUAACAGAUUAUACCAGCUAUUAUACACCUAUAGUUGUGUGUAUGCCAUUUUAUAAGAUGUAAAAAUUUUUUGUUCUUUCAAUUAUUAAUGUAGAGACAAAGAGCUGAUGCAACAUGCUUACCAGGUGAAAGUUAUAUCUGAAAAUGGACUGACUUAUUUCUUAAUUGGUGAAAUUUUCAUGCUUAGCAAUCUUUCCAUAAGAGUUAUCAUAUUGGUCAAAAACUUUCCAAUAUAUCUGAUGAGUUAAUUGAGUGGGCUGAUUGAAAAGACUAUGAAUUUUUGGUUUAUUUCAUUUACAUAAUAGCACCUAUGCACAUGUUUUCAUGAUCAAGAAUUGAUCAACUUAUUCAGCUUUGUCUCUCCAUUGACACUUUUUCUCGGCUCUUCUGAAUUUACCGUUACUCUUAAGUUAAGGAGUAAUUUAUUUUUGUCAAUGAAGCAGAUUCGAGAUGUUCGUCGAGAUUAUCAACUUCCUUCCCUAGUGUGCUUGAGUUGUUGGUAAAUUAACUUUCAAGAGUAAGUAUUCUACUCGUUUUAUCCGCCUCUAUCAAUUUCUUUUUCUGACUUCUGCUUCAUUUAUAGUUGUGUUCUUCGGUGGGUGGAUAUGCUCUAUGUGUUUUGCUGAGGGAUUUUGGCUAUGAAGGAUGUUUUGUAGCUUCGGGUAGAAGUGGAGUUGAGUGCAUUGGAAGCUCGACACUUCCAUCCUAUACUGAUAAGUGCAAUCUUCAGAUCCAUCGGUUGUGAGAAAUUCUACAAAGGACAGAAUAAUUUGAACCAUCAGCAGAUCCCUACUCCUCUAUUGUAAAGCUGUCUCCAUCAGCUCCCUCUGUUUCAACAAUGUCUACCUCUCCUUUAUCAUCAAAAAAUCAGUUGCGUCCUGCCAGUUCUACUUCUUUGCCUCAAUAUUCUUCCAGCCACCAGCUGGGACGACGAGUUUCUGAGAGUCAUAUACCAGGAAUAAAGUCACCUACAUUCUCAAUUUCUGAAGAAUCACCAUCCUUCAUGCUCCCUAAUUGGCGUAAUGAAUCAACCAGGGGCCCCAUUGGUGGAUCAUCGUAUGGAUGGUCUGUAGCAAUUUUUUACCAUGUACCCCACAAAGGUAGGGAUAAGAUCUGUGUACAACCCAACUUUCCCAGAUCCCACCAGAGGGAUCACA